rnacentral:rRNA from 1 species
UCCAGCAGCCAUAUCACCCUGGAGCUCUCAACUGGCUACCCACUGAGGCUAAGCAGGGUUGAGCCUGGUCAAUACCUAGAUGAGAAACCUCUGGGGAAACUGUGGUUGCUGCUGGAA